CACAAGCGGUGAUGAAGAUGACUUGGAUGUCACAGUCCUGAAAAUAACAUGUGGGUUUUUUGUCACUACCUCUUCUGAGCUUGGU
ensembl:snoRNA